rnacentral:rRNA from 1 species
UACGAAGGGGGCUAGCGUUGCUCGGAAUGACUGGGCGUAAAGGGCGCGUAGGCGGUUCGCUAAGUUGAAUGUGAAAACUCUGGGCUUAACCCAGAGCCUGCAUCCAAAACUGGCGAACUGGAGUACUGGAGGGGAAAGCGGAAUUCCUGGUGUAGCGGUGAAAUGCGUAGAUAUCAGGAGGAACACCGGUGGCGAAGGCGGCUUCUGGACAGUAACUGACGCUGAGGCACGAAGGUCAGGGGAGCAAACGGG